rnacentral:lncRNA from 1 species
CCUCUGUAUUGGCUUCUAUUCAAAGAGAAGCUUUAUUUGUUUUUCUAAAUAGUCCUUAGAUUUUAAGGAUAUAACUAUAAUAAUAGCCCUAAAAAUAUUCUUUGCCUAAGCCACCCAUCAUUGAAAAGGUAAAGAUAAUACAAAGAUUAUUUCCCGACCACUACAAAGAUUUGAGUUUCAAAGAAAUUAUUUUAUCCAGAACAACUAUGUAAAAAUUAUGUAAUGUGUUAGUUUAAAUUGUUGGUUUAAAACAAAUAUUC